UUCGCUCGAUUCUUUUGCUCUCAUUUGCGCCGAUGCCCUUUCUUCUCCAUCGCGACACCCUUUUCCCCGACGCCGGAGCCACGAGGAAAUCAAUCGCGCCUCCCUUUCUCUACACCGACCCCCAUCCUUGUCGCUUUGCCGAUCGCCGAACUUCUGUGCGCCCCGGCUACUCUCCGAUCUUGAGCAAGAAGUUUUCUUGAUCUCCAUCUCUGCCGCGCCAACCACCGCCUGACACCAUCGCUCGAUUGCACCGGCAUCACUCGACUGUUGCCACCCUUUUUUCUAGAGUAUUUCCGAGCCGUGCCCUAGCGACCAGCGCCAAUGCCGACUCAUGAUCCACCGACGCUUACUCUCGACUCACUGUUUCCGUGCCCUACUCAUCCACCUUUGUUUCUCCUUGCCGUUGGUCGAAUCACCAUCGCAUCUUCACUGCCGCUCCAUCAUCUGGUCGCUGCGAGCACAGGCGUUGUCACCCCUUUGACGAUGCCAAUUCCAGCCGUCAUCAUUCCUUCUCUGUCCUGGCUUGACAUUACGGUAGCUAUUAUCAAGCCUUCUUUCAUUUCCGAUCUCGGCGACCAUUACUAUUGUCAAUGUGGUACUACAACAACAACCACCAGCGAGCAAUCGUGGCCAACAUUGUAACUGGUCGAGCUCUCCCUCUUCCCGAACCAUCACCGACUCAUCCUCUUGCUGCUAUGCCCUAAACUCCCUUCAGUACUUUCUCCAGAUUCAGAGAGGGACGAGCAUCAGAGGCAUCCUCACUUCAGAUUCAGAGAGAAGAGCUCUGUUUCCAUUAUAGCAGCACUUAGAUUCCAUCCUAGAGGAAUUUUGAAUAUGAUUCGAGAUUGUUAAGUUAGCAAGGGAAGGAGGUAGUGGAUAGUAGAAGAUCGUCACCAUUGGCUGUAAGACACUUCCAGUGCUACCUUGUUGCCAAAUUUAGGGACUUUGAUUCGAGAGAAGCAUCCCGAUGUGGGAUUAUUUAUUACGAUCGAUAGAUAAAGACGGGUAACAGGUAAAGGAUUUAUAGAGUCGCCUGGAGGUCCUGUCCGCCAUCCCCACGUCACAUUCGAGGACGAUCUUAUGGUUUUGGCAUCAAAAGGGUCAUGGACCUGAUUAAAUCAGACCACAUUUGGACUCAAAUCUAGGGCUAAACAAGGCGAUCAAGCUUUGAAUCGAUUUGGACCGUCCAUUGAAGAUUGGAGAGAUCUGAGUCAUCCGUCAAGCAUUUGGUCCAUCCGACCUAAUGGGGAGUAGAUCUGGAUCGUAGAUGAAGAUCAAUACUGUUGGAUCGGAUUUUAGGCUAUUUUCCAUUGUUGAUCAAGCUAGGAGAGUUCUGGACCAUUGGAUCAAAUUUGAGGAGGAUUUAAAUGCCGUGAGGAACUACAGUGCAGAUUGGGCUCGGCUUCCACGCGAUUUCUUCACUGUAGCUUCUUCUUCUCCACCGCGACGCCGAAGUCCUCGUUCCAAAUUCCAGAUCCAGUUCUUCUCCUUCUUCAACGAGGACGAUCUCCGAGCUUCUGGCGUCCAUCUCCCGAGAUCAGUGAGUGCUAGAGGGAGGUUUCACGGCGUGAUUUUGGAUUUGUUCACUACCGCGAUCCUGAAAGAGGGAGGUUUCUCGAUCAGCGAUCUCCGCGUCCACCAGAGCUUUGAGGGAGGUUUCUUGGAGUUUCUGAUCUUCUUUCCGAUCAUCAUUUCAUAGCAAGGCUAGCUUGAUCUGAUCAAUCAAGUUGGUUUACGAAUCACAGAUUCAUCCUCUGUUCUUCGGCUGAAUGGGAUUACCAGUCGGAUUUGAGCUUGAGGGGAGGUUUCCAAGAGCUAUAAACACCACUUGGUAAUAGUUGGGAGCUAGAGAUUAGUAAUUGGGUGCUUGAUGGGAGGUCUCAGAUAGUAUCUCUGCUUCACGGCAGAUUGUUGAGGUUUGAACUUGGAGAUGGUUGUGGAAUGUUAUUGGUUUCUAUUUUCUUUCGAUUUCAUACACCUUUGCUAUGAUCUUUAGAUCUGACAGGUUAGAUUGCAAUUCCCGUUUGAUUUCUUAGCUCGCUAUCAAUUUCCUUCAGAUUUCUGUAAUCCACAUCCAGUUAGCAUACUUCCUAUUUUUGUAAUUUGAUUUUGAUUCCUUAGCAUUUGCAUUCUGAAUGUGUUCAACUUCUGGCAAUCCGAAUCUUGUUUAGCUAUGUGAUUAGUUAGUAAUCUAGUUUUUGUCUUGAAUUCCAUGUGUCGGUUUAUACUAACUAGUAUUUAGUUUUAAUCCUUGAAUGUGUGAUCAAACUCUUGAUUUAGAUAUCAGAUUUUAAUGACUGUGAUUGAGUUUGAAUGUUGAAUGAAUCACUUAAUUUCCUGAUUGUUUACCUCUGUUUAAUUUUGUUGAUUGUGGGAAUGAAUUGAAGAUUUGGUGAUCAAAUUAAUUAUUAAAUUAAUUGUGAUUGUGAAUUGGAUGCUAUUUCAGUUUCUAGAAGUGUAUGUGGCUGAAGAGAAAUGCCUAAUAGACCUUGUAAUAAUAGAAUUCAAUUUGAAUCAAUAUUAGAAUUUGCACACAUUAAUUAGUUACCCUUGGAAAAAUAUGACUUGAGACUCGUUGCUACAACACUUGUCUUAAUUUUAAUGAGUUUCAAUUAUAAUUAAUUUGGAGCGCCUCGUGACAUGCAAAAAGGCCGACACCAAAUUUU